ensembl:misc_RNA 7SK 7SK RNA
GGAUGUGAGGGCAAUCUGGCUGCAACAUCUGUCACCCCAUUGAUCGCCAGGGUUGAUUCGGCUGAUCUGGCUGGCUAGGCGGGUGUCCCCUUCCUCCCUCAUCGCUCCAUGUGCGUCCCUCCCGAAGCUGCGCGCUCGGUCAAAGAGGACGACCAUCCCCGAUAGAGGAGGACCCUUCUUCAGUCAAGGGUAUACGAGUAGCUGCGCUCCCCUGCUAGAACCUCCAAACAAGCUCUCAAGAAUGUAGGCUGCAUAUUGCAUAAUGCAUACUUCAUACAUUUCUGAAUAAACUGCACAUUCUUUGGAGGUAAAAACAGUGUUAUUUU